rnacentral:lncRNA from 1 species
CUUUCAGGAGACACCUGUGUCAGGCACGACGUGGUGAACUUUUAAAAACGGAUUCAGUAGUACCAAAAUACUCAUAAUGUGCAGACAGACAAAAGAACUGGAAGGAGUCGUGUUUUCAGACACAGGAAGCUUUUCACGUGCUCCACCUGGACCUCAUCUCUCAGCCUCACACUCCGAUCUUCAGCAGCCCCCGCUAUGCGCCCGAGUCUUGGGACGUCAUCCCGGAGCUCCUAGCCUGCCCGGGAGGCAGAGCCAUCAGUUGUCUAUCUUUUAGAUUCUCCUCUUGGCCCCUUAUCCCAACUAAACACAUCACCACUGAGGACCUGUCCAGGGGUUUAGCUCCUGAUGAAGAGACAGAGAAAAGGUCAGAGAAAGGAAGGGUGACGCUCCAUCCAAGAUGACUACAGCGCUAUGAUUUCCAGAUGGGGAAGGUCACGGAUGCUGGACGCAACAGAAUCUCAACAGGGACCCGAGAGAGAGAGGCUCCUCUCUCCCUACACUAAUAUCCCACGAUCCCUGUGUCACUUUCCAGAACACACUGUCAGUUCCAUGGACCUAGGAUUAUAAAAUCCUGUAAGAUUUAUACAGAAAAUAUAAAAAUCUGGGGAGGGGGAACUGUGAAACAAUGUGAAAAAAACUAUUUGUCAAAUGGACAGUGGGGAAUAACUUCUCCUCCCGCACCUCCUCCAAGCUUCUAACAACACUCAUGGCACACAAUACAGAGGAGACUGCCAUAAAAAUGACUUAAAAUGUGCCCUUUUGAGGUAAAGUAACUAUGGGACAAGUGACUAUAAAAAUGACACAGCUG